CCUACGGGAGGCAGCAGUGGGGGAUAUUGCACAAUGGGGGAAACCCUGAUGCAGCAACGCCGCGUGAGUGAAGAAGUAUUUCGGUAUGUAAAGCUCUAUCAGCAGGGAAGAGAAUGCCGGUACCUGACCACGAAGCCGCGGCUAACUACGUGACAGCAGCCGCGGUCAUACGCAGGGGGCGAGCGUUAUCCGGAUUUACUGGGAGUAACGGGAGCGUAGACGGCUGGUCAAGUCUGAGGUGAAAGCCCUGGGCUUAACCCCGGAACGGCUUUGGAAACUGAGCAGCUAGAGUGCUGGAGAGGUAAGCGGAAUUCCAAGUGUAGCGGUGAAAUGCGUAGAUAUUAGGAGGAACACCAGUGGCGAAGGCGGCUUACUGGACAAUAACUGACGUUGAGGCUCGAAAGCGUGGGGAGCAAACAGGAUUAGAUACCCCAGUAGUC
rnacentral:rRNA from 1 species